rnacentral:tRNA from 1 species
GCCGGAGUGGCGGAAUUGGUAUACGCGCACGACUCAAAAUCGUGUGGAUUUAUCCAUGUGGGUUCAAGUCCCACCUCCGGCACCA